GUGAAGGGCCGCUAAUUCCGCUGAGAUUCAUUUGUCAGGUGGAAUGUAGAGAAAAGAUCGCACGGAGGAGGGGACGGCAGGAAAAAAAAAAAUGGGACAGCUCACUCGGCUCAAACUUGGCCUGGCUCCCGGGAAUGCGGUUAGCGAGCGUACAAUCACUGCCUAUUGACGGUGGCACAGCUGCUGUGGACAUAUGUUUCCCCACCAAAGGAGGAGGACAUCAACCAGGCGGGCGCACCUUGAACAGGCGCAAAGUUGAAAAGCCAGCAUCUGUGAUGGUAUGGGGGUGUAUUAGUGCCCAAGGCAUGGGUAACUUACACAUCUGUGAAGGCACCAUUAGUGCUGAAAGAAGACUGUCAAGACUUGGACUUGGACGUGGAUUGUUUUCCCGAGGUGCAAAGCGAUUGGAGUGGACACGGUGUGAAGAUGAUAUUUAUGCUGACUGACAUUGAUCCCUAAGAGACACCCCCCGGAAAACGAGGUAAGAAACAAGCUCCGCGGCGAGAACCCCAAAAUAGCCCGGGCGUGAUCAAAAUUUCAGAGCUCGGAAUUAAUUUUACAUCAUGUUCGUUCGCAGUCCCACUCAGCCAUGCGGCUGGAGGAAAUGAGCUACCUGCGUUUAAUAGAAUACGUUGGCGCUGGCGGACAUGAUAGACUUCACUUCUGCACUGAAUCAAAAGCCGGGCAGACAGCGCAAAGAGAUGAUGAGCGAUGUAGUUUUCAAGUUUGAAGGGAGCGUAAGGAGAGUUUAGUAACUGGGAUGGAAGGGCCUGAUUCUGUCCAGGGUGAAAAGACUUCACCCAUUUCUAACAUUUUCUUUACAUUUAAUGCGUGGUAUACAAUACAGUAAUAUGUUCAUUGAAUGUUUAUUGCACAUUGAAAUAAAUCAAUAAAUACUUUUGUCACAUAAAUAGAUGUUGUGUAACACGCAGUACAAUGCACAGAUUAACAGUUAAAUAUUUGAAAUAAAACUCAUAAAGUGAAUAUAAUAAUAAAACAUAGAGGUGGGAAUCUUUGGGCAGCUCACGAUUCGAUUACGAUUUGAUUAUUAAUUGAUCAUCUCCAAUUUAUGUAUAUACAUUUUUUCGUUUCACUAAAUAAACGUUUAUUACUUGCAACUUUAAAACAUUUUUUCAAUAAAAAACAGUUGACUUAAUUUUCACAUUUAUUAAAUUCAUGGAAAUGUGUGCGAAAACUGUACUGAUAAAGGAGCUGGUGUGGUGGCUCGCUGCACUCAGCCAAAUUUUAGAACGGUCCUUAUUUCCAAUAAAUACGUCGAUUAUUGAUGUUCACCAAUUGAUUUUAUAAUCGUCCAUGUCCAAAUUGCUAUGCAUCUAAAAAUGCAUUAUUUCCUCCACCUCUAAUAAAACACAUGUCCAGGAAAAACUGAUCAUAAAUGUUUUUUGUCCAAGUAAAAAUAAUAUGUAUUUUGGUUUCUCGGAUUGAAAAAAAAUAAUAACAAAUUGUAAUUUGGAAAAAAAAAAAUAAUAAUAAUAAUAAUAAUAAUAUAUGGUAAGUCAGAUAAGAAAACAAUAUACAUAUGAGUGUUGUCCCAAUACCAAUAUUUUGGUACCAGUACCAAAAUUAUUUUGAUACUUUUCGGUACUUUUCUAAAUAAAGAAGACCUCAAAAAAUAGCACUAUUGGCUUUAUUUUAACAAAAACAUUUAGGGUACAUUAAACAUAUAUUUCUUAUUGCAAGUUUGUCCUUAAAUAAAAUAGUGAACAUGCGAGAGAACUUGUCUAUUAUUAGUAAGUAAAGAAACAAAAGCUCCUAAUUUAGCUGCUGACAUAUUGUGUCAUUUUCCCUUCUAUUAUUUUAUCAACAUUAUUAAGGACACGUGGUAGAAAAUGAAUCAUUAAUCUACUUGUUCAU